GGAUGACCUUUGUUUGUUUAAACUGUUGGAAAAUCAAUAUUUAAAAUGAAAUCUAGAAACUGAAGUGUGCCCUCUGCAGGAUCACCAGAAUGAUGGGAAAACUGAACACAAUCAACUCAUGAACUCCCCAAGCUUCUCCCCUGGAGUUAUGGAGACCAUUUUUUCAUACCCUUGAAUCUGGGCUGCUUUUGCAACUUGCUUCGAUCAACAGAAUCUGAUGAAAGUGAUGUGGUAGUUCUGAGCCUAAACCUCAAAACUCUUUACAACUUCAGUUCUUGUCUUCUUCAAACACUGAAACUACCAUGUGAAGAUUGCAGACCUAGCCAUGCUGAGGAUAAGAGACCCUGUUGCAAGAGGGGUACCUGAAGAAAACCGACAGCAAUCAUCAGGACUGUGACAGGCCAUCUUCGCCCACCCUAGCUCCUAAUGGCACAUGAGUGCCAGCAGGCAAAUGAGUGACCCCAGACAUGACCAGGAGAAGAAUUUCACCUCUGA
rnacentral:lncRNA from 1 species